rnacentral:rRNA from 1 species
UACAGAGGGUGCGAGCGUUAAUCGGAAUUACUGGGCGUAAAGCGUGCGCAGGCGGCUUUGCAAGACAGAUGUGAAAUCCCCGGGCUCAACCUGGGAACUGCUGGGCAUACUGGGAGUCUUGGGCCAUUCAGGGGCAACUGGAACAAGCGGUGGAGCGGUGAAAUGCGUAGAUAUCGGAAGGAACACCAGUGGCGAAAAGCGGCUUCCUGGUCCAGCACCGACGUUCAGGCACGAAAGCGUGGGGAGCAAACAGGG